UACGUAGGGUGCGAGCGUUUGUCCGGAAUUAUUGGGCGUAAAGGGCUCGUAGGCGGUUUGUCGCGUCGGGAGUGAAAACCCAGGGCUUAACCCUGGGCUGGCUUCCGAUACGGGCAGACUAGAGGUAUGCAGGGGGAGAACGGAAUUCCUGGUGUAGCGGUGGAAUGCGCAGAUAGUCAGGAGGAACACCGAUGGCGAAGGCAGUUCUCUGGGCCGUAACUGACGCUGAGGAGCGAAAGCGUGGGGAGCGAACAGG
rnacentral:rRNA from 1 species